rnacentral:rRNA from 1 species
UACAGAGGGUGCGAGCGUUGUUCGGAAUUAUUGGGCGUAAAGGGCGCGUAGGCGGUGCGGUAAGUCACCUGUGAAAUCUCCUGGCUCAACUGGGAGCUUGCAGGCGAAACUGCCGUGCUGGAGUGUGGGAGAGGUGCGUGGAAUUCCCGGUGUAGCGGUGAAGUGCGUAGAUAUCGGGAGGAACACCUGUGGCGAAAGCGGCGCGCUGGACCACAACUGACGCUGAGGCGCGAAAGCUAGGGGAGCAAACAGG